UUGGCUUCUUGGCCUUUUGGCUAAGUUCAGGUGUAGUAUCUGUUCUUAUCUGUUUAAUAUCUGAUACAUUCCUCACCCAGGGACAGGCAUAUUGAAUAGAUUUUUGCAGCAGGGAGCUAGAACAGGAGCUCGCUCUGUCCACUCCACACAUCAACCUGGUUUUGUACUGUUCCAAGCUCCUCUAAGGAAC
rnacentral:snRNA from 1 species